AAAUUGAAGAGUUUGAUCAUGGCUCAGAUUGAACGCUGGCGGCAGGCCUAACACAUGCAAGUCGAACGGUAACAGGAAGCAGCUUGCUGCUUUGCUGACGAGUGGCGGACGGGUGAGUAAUGUCUGGGAAACUGCCUGAUGGAGGGGGAUAACUACUGGAAACGGUAGCUAAUACCGCAUAACGUCGCAAGACCAAAGAGGGGGACCUUCGGGCCUCUUGCCAUCGGAUGUGCCCAGAUGGGAUUAGCUAGUAG
rnacentral:rRNA from 1 species